CUUGUCCUUAGUUGCCAGCACGUAAUGGUGGGGACUCUAAGGAGACUGCCGGUGACAAACCGGAGGAAGGUGGGGAUGACGUCAAGUCAUCAUGGCCCUUAUGGGUAGGGCUACACACGUGCUACAAUGGGAAGUACAGAGGGCUGCAAUACCGCGAGGUGGAGCUAAUCUCAGAAAACUUUUCGUAGUCCGGAUUGCACUCUGCAACUCGAGUGCAUGAAGUUGGAAUCGCUAGUAAUCGCGGAUCAGAACGCCGCGGUGAAUACGUUCCCGGGCCUU
rnacentral:rRNA from 1 species